ensembl:lncRNA
GGCUGCCGCGGAGAUGCAGCCCGGCCGCUGCCGUAGUAAGAGAGCUGCUCCUCCGGUGGUUGGGCUGAGGAACGCUGGGCUCCUCCUCCUCGUCCCCCCCAGCAGUGCACAGCCGGGCGUGUGACUGACGAGUCUCCCCCCGUCUAUCUUUUUCUUUUUUUUCCUUUUUUUUUUUUUUUUUUUUUUUUUGCCAUGGGUACACACACCGAGACACGCACAUGACAGCACUCGGGUGCCAGCGCCGGUGCAUCGCCAGGAGGGCUGUGCUUCACUCCGGGCACGCACACACGCAUGCUGCUGCUGCUUCUGCUGCUGGAAGUCUUUCUACACGGGGAUUAGCAGCCGCCUCUUCGCUCUAUUUCCCUGUCUCUUUCUUCUCCCUUCCUUCCCUUCCUCCUUCUCUCCCUAAAACGCCUGACUGACGGACGGCGGGCAGGAAAAGCCUAAAGCAUCACAAGGGCCAUAUUGUUCAGGAUUUCAGAGAGCAAUCGUUUAUCUUUGUGGAUACAAGUAAACGGACAAUGGUGUCCCGACCAUCUGCUCAAGCUGCUUGAGAACAGUCUUCUAUGCAAAUGGCAUGAAAGGUUCAAAUCACUGACAACUUUCUAUGCGUCUAGGAUCAUUCAAAAUGUGGCAGUGUACUUGAGACCUCGAUGUGGAAAAGAUAAAUAUGCCAUGGGACCUGUAGGAGAUCUGCAGCCUCCUAAUGGGCUUUCUGGAGCCAGGAAGGAAUGUUCCAAGCAGGGAAAAAGCAAUAACCCCAACUGGCAGUCCAAAAAUAACCAGAUUGGAGGGUGAAAGGAAAAAGAAGGAAAAGGGAAGACUAAAAUGGAGAGGUAAACUGUUAUUGUGUAGCCACAAUUCCCUUGCAAGGGGGAGCAGGGAGGCAGCAUUUUAUCAGGAGUAUGUGGGAAUGCAGUGGUAUAUGGUGACUGCAAAGGAGGAGCAGAGACAUCACUGCUACACCAUACCAUUUGAAAUGAAGAGAUUUGAGGGAGACAGAGGGGAGCAUCUCCAGUUCUCAUCUGGAGAUGUUAGUACUUUGUGGUCUGUUGUUUAAUAAAGUUCCUUAAAUACCUCCUGAAUAUUGGACUGUUUCUAGUAAUUCACUGUAAUAUUAUCUCUCCCCAUUUCUAUGGUGACUUCUGGUCUCACAUCAAUAGUUUUAGUCUGGGUCGUUCAAACAUUCCUGAUUCUUUGCAAUUAAGUUGUGCAGGAGCAGAUUCAUUUUUGUGAUUUCUUUUCCUUGAUCAUCAGAUGAAUGAAGGGUGUUGUGCAUGCUGCAGGAUUGUGGCAUGUUUAGGCUGUGAUAUGUGAUAUUUUGCAUCUUCUUUGUAUUUGUGGAAAUGAAAAACCUCAGCCAAAAUGGAAGGAAAGUUAUGAGUCCUGAAAUGGAUAUUCUCCUUUUCUGAUUCAGAAAUGAGCUGUGAUAUGAUAUAAUUUGAGGACUGGAAAGGAAAGGGGAGGAUGGGAGGAAAGUAGAAAAUACAAGACUCAAAAGUGCUUAGAACACAGUUGCAACAUCUAUUGCUUUUUUUCCUCAUGAAAAUAAAUUUAAAUGUUUCUUCUUGAACA